AAGGUCAGGGCGCGGCGCGCGGAGAUGAUGUAAUGGCUUUGUGCCGUGGGGGCGGCAGGUUCUGCGCUUCUCGGUGUGACUCGCUAUUCUGGGGCCGCCUCCGCCGGGUCCCAGGCAGACCCACCGCCACCUCAGGCCCGGCUCCGCCCAGCCCGUGUGAGCCCGGAGUCGGUAAACAAAUAAAAUCUAUUUUAUGAAACUGACCCUCAAUCAAGUAUAACUCUUUGAUGCCUGGUAUCUAAAUCCCCCUCCCCCCCACUAUGCCAGCAGCUACAGUAGAUCAUAGCCAAAGAAUUUGUGAAGUUUGGGCUUGUAACCUGGAUGAAGAAAUGAAGAAAAUUCGUCAAGUUAUACGGAAGUAUAAUUAUGUUGCCAUGGACACAGAGUUUCCAGGUGUAGUUGCAAGGCCUAUUGGAGAAUUCAGAAGCAAUGCGGACUAUCAGUACCAACUGCUGCGCUGUAAUGUAGACUUGCUAAAGAUAAUUCAGCUAGGACUGACAUUUAUGAAUGAGCAAGGAGAAUACCCUCCAGGAACUUCAACUUGGCAAUUUAAUUUUAAAUUUAAUUUAACGGAGGACAUGUAUGCCCAGGACUCCAUAGAACUACUAACAACAUCUGGUAUCCAGUUUAAAAAGCAUGAGGAAGAAGGAAUUGAGACUCAGUAUUUUGCAGAACUUCUUAUGACAUCAGGAGUAGUGCUGUGUGAAGGAGUCAAAUGGCUUUCCUUUCAUAGUGGUUAUGACUUUGGCUAUCUAAUCAAAAUCCUGACUAACUCUAAUUUACCUGAAGAGGAGCUGGACUUCUUUGAGAUACUCCGGUUGUUUUUCCCCGUCAUUUAUGAUGUGAAGUAUCUCAUGAAGAGCUGCAAAAAUCUCAAGGUAAAUGAUUUGAUAUCUGGUUCAGAAAAGAAUUUUCUAAGAUGGCAUUUUUUCCUACUGAAAGAACAUAUAUGGCAUCUGUUCACUGCCCCGUCCAGCAGUGAGCUCUACCUUGAUGGUAUUAUUUGUUACACAAAAUUGACUAGACUAAUGGUUAUUUGAUAUAUAAAAAGUUAUUGAUGAAAUGUAAGAGGCAGGGAGGAGCACACAUUUUUGUCCUUGUGGCUCCUAGCUAUUUAAAAAUUACAAAUCAAUCCCAUUUAUUGGCAGCAUCAUAGAUCUAUGCUACCAAAUGAUAAACCCAUGUUCGGAGGAAGUUACAUCUUGCUGUUAACUUCUCAGGCUGUUAGAAUUGAAGGGCUUGGCCUCUGUGAGCGUGGUAUUAAUGACACACUCUUGCAUCAUUCCUCACUGCUCAAUCCACGGAGGGGCUGCAGUUAUGAUAAGGUGUAGUGAAAAGUGACUUUGGUGUGAAGGGAUGGAAUGGCUAGACCUGCUGGUCGCCCUGUAGGCAAAAAUGAGCAAUGACAGAUAUGCUCAGAGCCAACUCAUGACUUCUAGAAAAAUAGACAGGGUUAGAAACUAACCUCUCAUCUCAAGCCAGUUGGGCUAUUAAUUGGCUUGUUCUAUUAGGCAUAAAAUUUGGAGAAGAUUUGAUUGGCCUGGAGAAUGAAUGUGAACUGGAAACAAAUGUAUGAAGGGAAGGACAUCAAAAAGAUAUGCUGCUGGGAUUGUUACAGCCACGCUUGCCAAAGAAGGCCUCGUAUCUGGACUGGUUUUGAAAUGAAAGGGGCACAACUCAUCUGAGGCAAUAGGUGGCUCACUGUUUUGAUGGAAGGCGACACAGAACACUCUGGGUUUUCUAAAUGAGAACACGUGGAAACUGGACACAGACUGACUGACUAAUGCAGCCACCUCUGAGUACAGGGAUGGUAUGCCACUCUUCAUCUCAGAAUGCUGAGCAAGUGAUUUAGACGAUGCUGAUGAGCUUGAAUUUUGUGAGGCUAUGCAGGUAAAGGACAUGUAUCUUUUUAAUGAGGAUCUUACUGGUGACUGAAGUAAAGAACAUAAUUUCCACCAUCUCCUGUGCUUAUCGGUCUGCACUGGAUGUGGCGUGGAGUGGGUGGGAUGGUCUUUUCCAUCAGGAAAAGUUUGCUUAUCAGGAAAAGCAAACUAGCCCAGUAUCUGGUCAGGAGUUUUGCAUCCCAGCAGCAACCCUCACCAACUGAAUAAAGAAUGUUUAUUAGGGACCAUCGAAUUGAAACUGGGUUUCCACUGGGACCAAGAGAAGUAAUGAAGUAGUUGGAAAAACUGCAGAAGUCAACAAAAUUGUGCACCCUCAUGGACUGAAACAAAACCUUUGCUGCUUAUAUACAGUUGUUUUGUCCCAAGUACUAAAUGUGUAAUCCACUCUUAUGGACUUGUGGGGGGAAUUAACAAAUUUAACAGCUGCUAUCAUUAGAGCUUUGUGAUAAUGGCAACUAAACUGAAGACCAAUUAUGACAGGAGGGGGAGAGAUUGGGAUUACGCUGUUCCUCCAAACACCAUUGCUGAAACAGUCCCAUUACUGUCCACAACAAUGAAAUGAUGCCAACUGUGUAGAUCUGUCCCAAACUGAGAACAGCUGGUGUGAGUCUUUGGAAGCCAAAUCAUUAAUUACUUGCAUGCACUGUUGCCUAAAUGAAUUUCUUUGCUUUUUUUUGUUUAAAUCUCUAUUAAAUUGCAGUGAAUUGAAUUGCUGUAUUGAGGUCCUUUAUUGAUUGUGCAAGCUACUCUUGUUGGUCACUUCAUUUUAUUAGAGACACUUGAUUUUCCUUUGACACAUUUUGGUGCUGAUAGUCAACCCUGGGGACCGAAACCCCCUCUACAGAAUUGUGUGGAUGGUGGUUGCAGCCAUUCUGUAGAAUUACCUCCUGACUCCAGCAGAAAUACUACAGAAAGAGUAUGGUCACUUGCUGUUGCUCAUCUACAGCACUACUCCUAUUCUCCAUCUUCUGUUGGGUGGGGACCAUGGUGCAGCUGUAGCCUGGUGACCAAUAGCAAUACAGAUUCUUCCCUAAAGAGGAAGAAUGGUCCAGUGGUUGGAACACUAGCUGGGGACUUGAGAGACCCAAAUUCAGUUCCCUACUCUGCCAUAAACUGUCUGUGUGACUGGAGGCAUGAUACUUAGUCCCUCUGAGCUGCAGUUUCCUAUCUGUGAAAUGGGAAUAGUAAUACCUCCCUGCCUGAUGAGAUGUUGAGGAUAAAUACGUUAAUGAUUGUAAAAGGUUCAGAUUCUGCAGUAAUGGAGGACCAAUAAGUACCUUAACUAGACAGAUAGAUCCUGACUAAAUUUAAUGGUGGGGUGGGGCUUGGGAAGCUGCACAGAGUAGUUAACACUCUGUACCAAUGUCCUGAGAUUUGUGGAGUUGGGCUUGUAUUCCCCAUUGAUCUUGGGCCAUCAUCCGUGGUGAUGUGAUUACAGAACCAAGCUGCUAACCUGUCUGUCUCAAAGGAAUGAUGCAUCUGAAAUAUUUUGAAUUAUUUUUUCUUUUCCUUCUUGUGGCUAUUCAUAUCUAAGGGGAGGGAUGUUUUGACCUACAGUUUGUAAAGUAUUUUUGGUUCUCAAGGUUAUAUUAAAAACCUUUUGAUCAGCACUGCCUUAAUCUGGAGUUUUAGAAGAAAAAAGUGAUUUAGAGAAGAAAGGCUCUGUAUCCCUUAAUUACUCUCCAGAGAGAUCCAGUGUUUCCCUUGUUUUUCCAACAGUUGUAAACUAUUUUGUGUGACAAACUUUUAGGCACCCUUUUUGGAAAAUUUUGGCCAAUAUCCACAACCGAAGGUGAUGCUUUCACCCUGUCCUGAAUUUUUUUUUCUAGAUCAGUGUUACACAGACUGCAGAGGCUGGAAUGUAAUAAUUCCACAUUUUUCCUUUUUCUUUGUAACAGGUAGGUUUAAGACGCAUGACAUUCAAGCUAAGUUAGAAUUGAUAGGUGUGCUGUCUCACUGCUAUCACUACCAGUAAUGAGAGAAGUGAUCUUCAGCUACUGUCUAGUCAGGAGGGCAUGUGGCUUAAAAGGGAUGAGUGUGGGUUUUAAGAGGGCCCAGUUUUUAAUGAGGCAUGUUUCCAAUAGCAAUCCAUGUUAAUGCUAUGGGGAAUACUGAAAAUGUCUAUUCAGCAGGUGUGCCGCCUCUUCCCUCCUACCCUUGUCCCCAUGGUGCUUAUUUAAAAAGGGGAAAUUAGGUAAUAGUGUGAGUUGAAAUGCAUGCAAAAUUCAGAUUGUAGCACAAACCAGCAAAAAUGACAAAAGUCAGAGAGACAUUGUCACGCUAUAAAAUAUUUAAAUUACCCCACACAUUUUCUUAUCUAUCACAUUAACACCUUACAUAAUUAAAAUGGAAAUAAUUUUUAAAAUGUAGUUUUCACUACCUUACACUGUCUGCUCAUUUUUGACAUGUUGGAUGAUUUAAAAUAAACUAGUUAAUUUCAAUGUCAGGUUCUUAUGCCCUAGCACCAUUCUGUAGUGUUUGGCUUGCAGAUGCCACUUGGAAAUUAAUAAAGUUUCCAUUUGAAUUAAAAAAAACAAACUAAUGACUCAUGGAAACGUCCUUGUUGGCUGUAACAUUCAUAGUUCUUUCUUCAUAGAACAAUCUGCAUUUGGGGCCAAAUUUGACUUGGUUAAAGUUCAGUCUUUAACUUGCAUUAUUUCACCUCAGCCUCUUCUCCCUCUCUUUUCCACCUCCAUCUCCCAAAAUGGUACAUAGUCAAUGGAAUUCAAAUACUAUAUGUUCCCUUUUUAAUAUUCAAAAGAACUUGCUUUGUGCUAGCUUCCUUCCUGUCUUUGACUACUUCUGUGUUUUGGUUUCCUUUUUUUCAGAUGUAAAAAAUGUAGUGCAGGCUAAAAGCAUUUUGAUGCUCUAUCUAGUUUCAACCUAUCGUUGGCAGAGUAGUGAUCCAAAGCAGUCCACAGUUUCACUAUGCAGUAUAGUGUUUCAAAAAUUAUUGUAAGGUAACUGAUUUUCUCCCAGUUGUACAACCUUUUAAAGAGUGGUACCUCUGCAACAUAGUCUUGCAUGUACCAUAACUAUAUUGUCCCAUGGGGAUCAGUUUAGCUAAGAUUACACUAACCUGUCUAAAGCUGAAUUGAUCUGCAAAGAGGCUGCUUCUGCUUGUAGCACCCCUAUCGCUUUCGUGACACUAAAAUGAACGGGCUGAAUUCAUCAGUACCUGUUUUGGGGAUAGUUAUAAGAGAUGCUGCUAAUCUUAUGGAGAAACUGGAAUAGGGAUAGUCUGAUUUGUUCAGUUGUGUGGUUUUUUUUUAAUUUUUAUUUUUAUUUGUCUGUGAAAGAGUCGGGCAUUUUUAUUCUGUGGACCAUUUCUCAAGAUAGGACUCAUAUCAUUGGCAGCUCUCCUCCUGAUCUCUCACCUGCUGCACAACUGUAGUGCUAUGAAGUUAUAUGAAAAAGUAGUGCUAGGGCAGGGUAAAGGAGUGAAGAUGAAAAUAAACUUGGUUUGAUUAAAUGGAUACAGCUGCUUGGUUAGUUCCCCUCCUGUAUUGUAAAUUGUGCUAUUUGUUUCCUCUCCCUGGAUGUAGGACUUGUAUAUAUUAGUUCCAAACCUUCCCCCAUUGCCCGCAACCCCUAAAGACUCUGAUUUCUCCUAGUGCUUUGUUUGGUUCUGUGUGUAUGCACUACCUUGUCUAUUUUGAGAUUUUUUCCAAAUUUGAUUCAGUUGAAUUUAUAAAAUACACCCAAUAAAAGGACAUGAAGGUGCUGUGAGGGAGGAGAGGGGUGUGCUUAGUUGGUCAAAAAGCUUUUGGAAGUCACAAGUUUCCCACUGGGCGGCAAUUAACAGGAAGAAAAAUUGCUUGAAGACUGAAAGAUACUUUACUGUUAGGUAACGUGUAGACGAUCAAUGAUCCAUGCCCUACAAUUGGAGACUCUCUGUAGAGCAGUUCCCAAUUUUGAGCCCUAUGUUUACUUGCUACACUCAGUGUCUAAAAGCUGUCCUUUUUGUACAUGGGCUGUUUUGUGUGUGUGUGUGUGUGUGUGUGUGUGUGUGUGGAGGAGCUUUCAGCACAGAUGUGGCUUAAAAUGUUUUCUUUUAAAAAAUACACUGUCAGUAGCACAAGUGCCUGUUUUUUGUGUGCUUAUGGUAUCUAAUAUCUUCUUGAACCUGGUUACAAUGCAAUUUACAUUACUUUUUACACAGAUGUUUCAUUUACUCUUUUAUGGCAGUUAAUAAAACAAAUUAAAACAUGGUUAAAGAUCGGUUGAAUGUUAGCUUUUUCACUUUGUUCUUUUUUCCCCUCUUGAAUUUUACAACUUCACCUGGGUUCAGGGUUCUCCAUUAAUUCCUAAGGUAAACCAUUUUCCUGGAUUCCCUCUACUACUUUAGAUGCUUUGAAGUUUUGUGGGGGAAGCGCAGAACCCUGAGCUUAGGUGGUGGCAGGUAAGUGAAGGAAAAAACUGUGUUUUUGAAUGAAAGCUAAUUACUUUCAAGACAAGUUGGAGUGCAUGUGUUUGUAGUAAUUUGGAUCUUAAAUUGCUUUGUUUGAAUUACCAUUGUUCACGUUUAAAUUCUAGCCCUAUUAGAAAAGUAGGAAAUUAAAGAAACACUUUGAUUUCUGAAACUGUCAUUCAGCAGUAGCAUAAAUCCUUUCAGUUUAGUCAAUGUAAUACUUGAAGGAAUUGCCUUGUUCAGUAGUAAUUCCUUCAACUUUAAUUGGCUGGUGUGCCUAGGCUUAUUAGGUCUAAGACAGUCAUUAAUACUUGAAAGUGCUUGAUACUUAAAGCCUGAAUGAAAAGCUUGGCUUUUUCAAGUGUGUGCUGGUUGUAUAUCUCUACUAUGACCGCUAUUGUGCUAAGCUAAAUAUAUACAAAUGGUCGUUGAAUAGACUUCGUUGUGCAGAAUUCUAGUGCUACUAUUGAAUGAUCUGACUUUGUAAUUAUUAUCCCCACUUUGACUGUGUAAUGCUCCUUCCUUUUUCAGGGUGGAUUGCAAGAAGUUGCAGAGCAGUUGGAGCUGGAAAGGAUAGGACCACAACAUCAGGCAGGAUCUGAUUCUUUACUCACGGGAAUGGCCUUUUUCAAAAUGAGAGAAG